rnacentral:rRNA from 1 species
AAACCAAGAAGCUUGCUUCUUGGGGUUGUAGGACACUCUAUACGGAGUUACAAAAGAAAGUUAUAAAUGAAGCGGUCUGGAAAGGCCCGCCAAAGACGGUAACAGCCCGGUAGUUGAAAUGGCUUUCCCUCCAGAGUGGAUCCUGAGUACGGCGGAACACGUGAAAUUCCGUCGGAAUCCGGGAGGACCAUCUCCCAAGGCUAAAUACUCCCUAGUGACCGAUAGUGAACCAGUACCGUGAGGGAAAGGUGAAAAGCACCCCGGAAGGGGAGUGAAACAGUUCCUGAAACCGUGUGCCUACAAGUAGUUAGAGCCCGUUAAUGGGUGAUAGCGUGCCUUUUGUAGAAUGAACCGGCGAGUUACGAUUUGUUGCAAGG